AUCUGGUGGUGAGGGCAAUUGGCACAUAGUUUCUUAAAUCUCUCCCAAUAUUCAUAUAAGCUCUCUCCACUGUGUCUAAUGCCUGAAAUAUCCUUUCUGAUGGU
rnacentral:snoRNA from 1 species